UACAGAGGGUGCGAGCGUUAAUCGGAAUUACUGGGCGUAAAGCGCACGUAGGCGGCUUGGUAUGUCGGGUGUGAAAUCCCCGGGCUCAACCUGGGAACUGCAUCCGAAACUGCCUUGCUCGAGUAUGGGAGAGGGAAGUGGAAUUUCCGGUGUAGCGGUGAAAUGCGUAGAUAUCGGAAGGAACACCAAUGGCGAAGGCAGCUCGCUGGGACGGUACUGACGCUGAGACGCGAAAGCGUGGGGAGCAAACAGG
rnacentral:rRNA from 1 species